GCGUCACUGGUUUAGUGGUAAAAUCCAUCGUUGCCAUUCUGAUAUAACAACCAGAAUUCGAGGGGCCCCGCGUUCGAUAGGCCCCGCGUUCGAUUCGCGGCUGACGCG